AUCUUUGUGCUUGGGGCAAUGACGCAGCUAGUGAGGUUAUACCGAGGCGCGUCAAUUGCUGGUUGAAAACUAUUUCCAAACCCCCUAUUUGGCCCUCUGGGGUCACCGAGAAUUUCUGAAACGGCUCCUCUUCUCCGUGGAGGGUAAAGCC
rfam:Triticum aestivum genome assembly, contig: Triticum_aestivum_CS42_TGACv1_scaffold_250039_3DL